GGGUGGGGGGUGUCCAGUGGCAGUUUCAGCAAGUGGGGAGGUGGCGGGUGUGAAGGACAGUAAGGGGGAGAGGGGGAGGCAGAAGGGGGAGAGGGGGAGGCAGAAAGGGGGAGGGGACCGCGAGGAGGUUCUCAGUAGGCACAUUCAAGAGUUGGAAAUCCCAAAGACCCCAAAGGGAUUCAACAGCUUUUUCUCCCUCUUAGAUAUAUUCAGACUCAUUAUUCUGAAGUCUCAGGGUUUUAAUAUUGUUGUCAUUUAAAGUAGAAAAAGAAGAAGCAAUGCAUUCAUUCCAUGAUUUGAUCCUGAGGAGAAAAAUCUGGUCUCCUUUUUCUCUUCUCCAAACAUAAAUAAACACUGCAGGGAAAUCAUAAUACGUGUGAGACGUUGUAAAAGUUCCCAUUUCCAUAUAUAUUAUUUCCUCUGGAUUGCAUCACCCAAGAGACAUGGAUGUCUUUAGAGAACACCCUGGAAUCAACCCGGAAUCAACCCUGGAUCACCCUGGAAUCAUUCCUGGAAUCAACCCUGGAAUCAACCCUGGAUCAACCCUGGAAUCAUUCCUGGAAUCAACCCUGGAAUCAACCUGGAAUCAACACUGGAAUCAUUCCUAGAUUCAGCCCUGGGAUCAACACUGGAUCGACCCUGGAAUCAACCUGGAAUCAUUCCUGGAUUCAACCCUGGAAUCAACCCUGUUUGUCUACAGCCACUCUGAGAGGCAAACAAAAAAGACAACAGAACAAAGGAAAAAUCCCCAGACUUCUUGUAUGUGCGCCUGUGCCUGUGUGUGUGUGUGUGUGUGUGUCUGUGGGAGUGUGCGCGCGUGUGUGUGUGUGUGUGUGUGUGUUUGUUUGUGUGUGUGUUUCGGCUAGGGUAGGCGAGGGUAGUGGAGGCAAUAUGCUGCAGCAGUUAUGACUUGGGUAAACACUGUCCUAAGCUGCCAGAGAGGUGACCGGUCACACGCAGGAGAGAGUGAGGCCCCCAGGAACCUGCUGGCACCUGCUGCUCCAGGUGACAUAGGAGCCUGGGCAUAAUGUCACCACCAGCAGCAACAGCACUGCCAGCAGCAGCACCACCACAACCAGCACCACCAGCACCACCACCACCACCACCACCACCACCACCA
ensembl:lncRNA